UGAGCACUAUGAAAUUGACCGUUGUACAUUUUAUGAUGGAAAUCUUCUGUUCCACUUGUGGUUUUAUAUGCUCUAAUAAAACAAUCUUUUUCAAUAUAAAACGUAUUAUAAAAAUUAAAAUGUAAAUUAUCUAGGGCUAAUUGAUGGUUCACUUGCCCAUAGUUCCCACGGAAAAAGACAACCAGGUUCUAUCGUGUUCUAAAAAAAAACCUGAAAAAUCGUAUUCAUAACAUGGCAACAUAUAGCAUUCAAACACAAUACGGACUUGGGCAAAAAACAAGUCGAAACUAAUUUAAUAUCGAACAAUGAACGUGCGGAAUCGUGUUCUUCCAGGAAUUAGUAGGUUGGAUAAUAAGUCAACUAACUAUACAGCCUUACGAUUUCAACUUUAUUCACAAAACGUUCAUUGUGUGCGUCGAACAGUGUUCCGAUCAGUUGGAAAGAGAUCUAACAAAGUUUGAAUGCAAUACUCAUAUGGUGUGUUCCGUCCGAACCGUUUUCUAUGGGAAUAUCAAUAUAAUAUAAACGUAGAAUACAUAAGCAACGUCAGCAGUAAACGAACCGAUUUGUUGCAAUAAAUAAUGCAACGCGAUUCAAUGAUGUCAGAAGUUACCUUGUGUAGAACUCGGAACUUAUUCUCAAAAGUACAAACUAAAUAUAAUUCGGCUACAGCAAAAACUCACCUGAAGCUGAAGAUUAGAACAUUUUAUCGUAUAACUCCACCUCAAAAAUAAUAAAGCCUCACAUUUUAUUAUAAAACCAAUACAUUCAACUUUCCAUUCAGAAUCAAAAUGAUACAUUGUUACAUACGCUCAAAAAAUAUAAGUAUGUGUUCAUUCAUACAGUUGUUUACAUAAAAUACCAAUACUAUCGUGACAUAUUUAUUUACGAACUAAUUGCUCAUAUAAGAAGAGGUCAUCAAAAAACUUGUACCACGGAUCAGUAUUUGCAUAGAUCGAGAAAGUGAUUACGUGAAAUAUUUUACAUAGGUAUAAAUUAACA